rnacentral:rRNA from 1 species
AACGAACGCUGGCGGCAGGCCUAACACAUGCAAGUCGAACGAGCAUUUCGGUGCUAGCGGCGGACGGGUGAGUAACGCGUGGGAACGUGCCCUUUUCUGCGGAAUAGUCCUGGGAAACUGGGGGUAAUACCGCAUACGCCCUUUUGGGGAAAGAUUUAUCGGAGAAGGAUCGGCCCGCGUUGGAUUAGGUAGUUGGUGGGGUAAUGGCCCACCAAGCCGACGAUCUAUAGCUGGUUUGAGAGGAUGAUCAGCCACACUGGGACUGAGACACGGCCCAGACUCCUACGGGAGGCAGCAGUGGGGAAUCUUAGACAAUGGGGGCAACCCUGAUCUAGCCAUGCCGCGUGAGUGAUGAAGGCCUUAGGGUUGUAAAGCUCUUUCAGCUGGGAAGAUAAUGACGGUACCAGCAGAAGAAGCCCCGGCUAACUCCGUA